rfam:Felis catus isolate Cinnamon breed Abyssinian chromosome A2, whole genome shotgun sequence.
GCCUGGGUGGCUCGGUCAGUUGAGCAUCCGACUUCAGCUCAGGUCAAGAUCUCACGGUCCGUGGGUUCGAGCCCCACGUCAGGCU